GUCAACUAUAUAUGUUGUAUAGAAGCAUUGUUAGCUGUACAUGUCUUCCUGGCAUGGUUCAUCUGACCUUGACCUCAUUUUCAAGGUUCAUUGGUCUUUGUUUAGUUAUCUUGGUUAAUGUUAAGUUUAUGUGACAGUUGUAUUAAAGCUUAGCUUUAUACUUAGGACUAUCAACAUAAUAUCAAUGAUUAGUAUAGAAGGCGAGACAUUUCAGCGUGUGCACUCUUGUUUUAAUCGUUGACAUUUU
rnacentral:lncRNA from 1 species